GAUGAAGAACGCAGCGAAAUGCGAUAAGUAGUGUGAAUUGCAGAAUUCAGUGAAUCAUCGAAUCUUUGAACGCAUAUUGCGCCCCUUGGUAUUCCAUGGGGCAUGCCUGUUCGAGCGUCAUUUGUACCUUCAAGCUUUGCUUGGUGUUGGGUGUUUGUCCUGAGGGACUCGCCUUAAAGUAAUUGGCAGCCAGUGUUUGGUUUUGAAGCGCAGCACAAGUCGCGAUUCAAAGCUAUACGCCCGCUUCCACAAGCCUUUUUCACUUUUGACCUCGGAUCAGGUAGGGAUACCCGCUGAACUUAAGCAUAUCAAUAAGCGGAGGA
rnacentral:misc_RNA from 1 species